rnacentral:rRNA from 1 species
GACGGAGGGGGCAAGCGUUGUCCGGACUCACUGGGCGUAAAGGGCGCGUAGGCGGUCUGCUAAGCGUGCGGUGAAAGCCUGGGGCUCAACCCCAGGUCUGCCGUGCGAACUGGUGGACUAGAGCACUGUAGAGGCAGGUGGAAUUCCGGGUGUAGCGGUGGAAUGCGUAGAGAUCCGGAAGAACACCGGUGGCGAAGGCGGCCUGCUGGCGAGUUGCUGACGCUGAGGCGCGACAGCGUGGGGAGCAAACAGG